rnacentral:rRNA from 1 species
UGGGGAAUAUUGGGCAAUGGGCGCAAGCCUGACCCAGCAACGCCGCGUGAAGGAAGAAGGCUUUCGGGUUGUAAACUUCUUUUGUCAGGGACGAAGCAAGUGACGGUACCUGACGAAUAAGCCACGGCUAACUACGUGCCAGCAGCCGCGGUAAUACGUAGGUGGCAAGCGUUAUCCGGAUUUACUGGGUGUAAAGGGCGUGUAGGCGGGACUGCAAGUCAGAUGUGAAAACUCAGGGCUCAACCCUGAGCCUGCAUUUGAAACUGUAGUUCUUGAGUACUGGAGAGGCAGACGGAAUUCCUAGUGUAGCGGUGAAAUGCGUAGAUAUUAGGAGGAACACCAGUGGCGAAGGCGGUCUGCUGGACAGCAACUGACGCUGAGGCACGAAAGUGUGGGGAGCAAAACAGGAUUAGAUACCC